GUUUAUUCAAGAGCAGUGUGGGGAAAAGUGAGGAUGGCCUAUGUUAUCUAGGCAAAAACGGAGGUGCUAAACAGAAUUACAAGGUUUUCCAUACAAAGGCUAACGUCCAAAUCCAAGACUCGUUUGGCCACCUUGAUUACACUCUAAGGGGAUUGCUUAGCAUUCACUUGUAAAAAGGUAACAAUCCCCAGGGUCUCUGUCUCCAAAGUCGUUCAGGUUUGAAUAACGAGUAGGGGAUCUGGUUAAUAUGUAACAUUUCAACACAAAGAUCAGGAAGCGAGGGUCCAAAAACAGCCAGUGUUAUAUGACUCCUCAUCCAAGGCUUAAAUUUUCCCCUGGCCAUAAUACAUUUGGAAGUCCUGAAAUUUUAUUUUCUUUUUACAAUUUUGAUGUUGCACAUUCUAGAAAUACACUAGCCUGGGUGCUAGAGCGAAGAAAGCCUUCCAGACAAUUCUGACUAUCUCUUCAUUUCCUCAUUCAAUAAAUAGGCAUACUGUGUGCUUGCUCCAAGCCACUUCACAGAUAAAGACACUGAACUCAGAGAGCCAAGCGCCUUGGCAAGUCACUUCAUCCCUCUGGACUUUGGCUGCUUUAAGUGUGAAAUGAGAACAAUACAACUGGCUUUACUGGUCUUCUGGGAGACUUCCUUGAGAACCUGGCAUAUGACAGGGUCUCACCCUGUCACCCAGGCUGGAGUGCAGUGGUAUAAACAUGGCUCACUUCUGUCAAGCCUGGCCUUUGCUUCAUUCUGUACCCUGAACUUCUGGAAGCAGAAACAUAAGAACUGGCACUGUGUGCUCUAAAGACAAAGAAUAAAUGAGUGAAAGAUGAAUAAAUAAAUGACCGAAUCAACAUAAGAACAAUGAAUGAAGAUCACCCAGAAAAACCUUGGGCUUUGGAAUCAAAAGAGAUGUCUGGUUCCAGUCUCAGCCAGGCCAGGGCCUUGCAGCGUAGCCUCUCUGGUUCUUGAUUUGCUCCUUCAUCAAAUGGUGUCAUAAACAGCUCCCUCUUAAGGUUGUGGGGAGAAUAAAAUAAAAUAAUCUGCGUGGAAACUCUUUGUUAACUUAAUAGCAUUUUGUAUAGGAAGACAUGUGUUUCACAUAAAUUUAGGGUGCCACAAAAGAAGUAGCACUCGAAUAUAAAUUUCCUCAGCAAGGCAAUUUAUUUCUAUAAAAGGGUGCAGCUCACAGAUGGAAUGAUGGUGAGCACACACCUGGACAAGGGAGAGGAAGGGGUACUUAUGCCUGAUGGAGGUCACCCCUACUGCUGUGUCGUUCCCUAUUGGCUAGGGUUCGACUUCACAGUCUAGUCUAAUUCCAAUUGAUUAUUUUAAAGGGAGCAGGGGUAUAAGCCAGAGUGGUGGGGUGGGGAGGAAGGGAAGGUUUGGCGGGAAAGACAGUUACAGGCAGGUCAAAGCAGGUGACCAGAGCAGGUGACUGGAAUGAGUCAGGAUGGGGCGGGGGACCAGGAGAACAGAUGUGAACUGCUGAUUAGAACUGGUGGAAAAGCUUGUUAACUGAAACUACAAGGAAGUUAAACUUUAAAAUGGAGAAUUAAAUAAUAAGAGAGCUGAACAUACUGACACACUGAUUAUUUGAAGAGAAACCAGGGGGGUUCACUAUAUCUAACAUAUGCAAUGUCUUGUCCAAACCAGAAUAGUUGAGAAAGAAAGGGAGCAUUACUAACAAUGACUUUAAGUCCCUCUGAAGGCAGGACCAUUCUCAUUCUAAGGAUGCAAAUUAUUACUUUGGCUUCUGUCAUCAGCGGUGCCAGGUUAGAAAUAGCCAGGUCCAGGCCGAGGUGGGCGGAUCACGAGGUCAAGAGAUUGAGACCAUCCUGGCCAACAUGAUGAAACCCCAUAUCUACUAAAAAUACAAAAAUAAGCUGGACGUGGUGGCACGUGCCUGUAGUCCCAGCUACUCAGGAGGCUGAGGCAGGAGAAUUGCUUGAACCCAGGAGGUGGAGGUUGCAGUCCAGCCUGGCUCCUGGUGACAGAUCAAGACUCUGUCUCAGAAAAAAAAAAGAAAUAGCCAGGUUGACACAUGCUUGUCUUUCCACAAUGUCAGGCUUUUAUCGAUUGUGAUUCAGUCCCCCAAAGCCACGAGUUCUGUGGUGUUCCCAAGGAGGCAGUUCUCCUUAGUUCUUCCAUUUACUCGGUAGUAAGAGCUGCGGACACACGGGCACAAGCCACUCUUUAAGUCAGUCAAUACUCCCAACCACGCAUGAUAGUGUACUUGAUCAAUAUAUAAGUGUUAUAGAUUAAAACAUUCCACAACAAACAAUGUAGCAUUUAACAUCAAGGGGAAAAAGAGAUAGGAGAAAGGGUUAAUAAAGCAGUCCAGGGG
rnacentral:lncRNA from 1 species